UAGUCAUAUGCUUGUCUCAAAGAUUAAGCCAUGCAUGUCUAAGUAUAAGCAAUUUAUACAGUGAAACUGCGAAUGGCUCAUUAAAUCAGUUAUCGUUUAUUUGAUAGUUCCUUUACUACAUGGUAUAACUGUGGUAAUUCUAGAGCUAAUACAUGCUUAAAAUCCCGACCUUUUGGAAGGGAUGUAUUUAUUAGAUAAAAAAUCAAUGUCUUCGGACUCUUUGAUGAUUCAUAAUAACUUUUCGAAUCGCAUGGCCUUGUGCCGGCGAUGGUUCAUU
rnacentral:rRNA from 1 species